CUCACAUUGACCUACCCAGAAGCCAGUGAUUCCCCUGUCUUACUCAGAUCGGGAAACUCAGCUUUAUGACAAAGGGGUCAAAGGUGGAACCUACCCCCGGCGCUACCACGUGUCUGUGCACCACAAGGACUACAGUGAUGGCAGAAGAACAUUUCCCCGAAUACGGCGUCAUCAAGGCAACUUGUUCACCCUGGUGCCCUCCAGCCGCUCCCUGAGCACAAAUGGCGAGAACAUGGGUCUGGCUGUGCAAUACCUGGACCCCCGUGGGCGCCUGCGGAGUGCGGACAGCGAGAAUGCCCUCUCUGUGCAGGAGAGGAAUGUGCCAACCAAGUGUGAGGAGCUGUCCCUGGCUAGGAGGAGACUGCCCAGGUGGUCUCAGACAAGCUACGGGGGCAAACAGCUGGGCCCCUGGGACCCUUAGGCUCAGCAGGUGGUGGCUUUGGCCCAAAUGCACCACAUGGGAUAAGCCUUGGAGUGUCUGAAGCCUGGCUCCACUAUUGUGUGACAAGCCUCUUCUCCUCUCUGAUCUUUAGUUUUUCCAUGUUUAAACUAGGGAAGAGCACACCCUUCAUCCCUGCCAUAUUAAGAUAUUUA
rnacentral:lncRNA from 10 species